AAGAGUGUAGGUGAUGCCGGAACUCUGGAGUCUGAUUCAUCCAGUGUUUUCAUUGAUGUGGGCACAGAAGUACAGCAAGAUAGAAAGGGGACUUCUGCCCAGUGCCACUUGUUUCACAGUGAUAGCUUCUAUGAAAGGUAUUGAGGGUGGAGGAGCUCAGGAGGCCUGUCUGUGGAGCACGUGGGCAUGGAAGGAGCGGGAGCCCCUACUCAAGCCUUCCCUGAAGCAGCUCAAGGCCUCUUGGACUUGACUACAGAAGAAUCAGGAUGUGUGCCAAACAGUAGUGGUGGAUGACUUCAUUCUUCUAUUAUGAAAAUGUUCAAGAAUAAAAAAGAGAAAUGAGACAAUGGAUACCAAUAGUCAACAUCAGCCAUCACAGCAGCUAAGGAGAGAGCAGCCUGAGGAGGAAUCUACUGCAUCUUAAUCUUGGCCUUCAGAAACCAGGAUAUGAUGAAUAAGUUUCUGUUAUUCAAUCCAUUCGGCCUGUGGUACCGCAUUCUGCCAUGCUCAGCAGAGGAACAUACUAACCUUUAGGGCAUACCUGAUAGGAGGAUGAGAAGCCAACUGGAUCCUGGAAGCUCAUCACACUUGGGGGAACCAAAGCUUGCUGGUUUAAUUAUCAUUCACUGAGUAUCUAUGGUCUAUCAGCACUGGAUACAUGAAGCAGGCACCAAGGGACAUAAAUGUCCAUGUACUUGGAUGAGGGAAACACAACUUUAAACUUUGUAUUCUGAGGGCCUAAGUCAUCUCAUAUAGGAUGAAACAUUGACUUGUAAUUAACCAUAAAUUUUAUAUUAGGGUCUGACAUACUUCAAAUUCUAUCCUUUAAAAAUGUUCUUGGUGUCAUCUUUGCAAUAAAUAGUUUGCAGAGGCAGGGCCCAGCACCACAUACACCUUUUAUGUCAUGAAAGUUGCCUUGAUGACACACCAGUUAGAUCUCAGCAGUUUUGCUUAGUAGUUCAAAAAACUCUACCCUUCAUUUCUGACUAGAGAGAAAAAAAAGGAGAAGGAAUACCAAUCUAGUAAUCUUGAUUAAUUUUGCUCUAAAAUAAAAUAUUAGCCUUUUUAUGAUAAAAAUUUAUGGCAAGAGGCACUUGGUGUCUCUUGUUCUGGGAAAUAUUUUGCUACCUCUACUUUCUUGAAUUUGACUUCAUUUAAAAGGGGAACUAGAAGUCUUGAUGGGACCCCUGGCAUAGUAUAAGAAGAGGAGCCUGGCCAUGGAGCAACACCAGACCCAGAAGAGGCAAGGUAUCACAUCAUAAAUUCUAGGAGCUCAGCUUCACCUGUGCAACACUCUGCCAUGUUUCUGAUGCUUCUCCCUAAAGUUCAAAUCUGAUGUCACUCAUCAUUUGCUCUCUAAUCUUUACUGAGUCCUGAGCAUGAGGGUCAGCUCUGUAUUUGUGGUGCUUUUAUGCUCCAUAGAAUUUAAAUUGCCCAACUGUCACUUUCCUGCCUAUUUCCUUGCUGACCUUGGGCAGUCCUUUAUUAUUAUUAUUAUUAUUAUUAUUAUUAUUAUUAUUAUUAUUAAUUUAUUUGGUUUCUCAAGACCGGGUUUCUCGGUGUAAUAGCUCUGGCUAUCCUGGAACUAGCAAUGUAGAUCCACCUGCCUCUGCCUCCCGAGUGCUGGGAUUAAAGGUGUGCGUCACCACUGCCCAGCGACCUUGGGCUAUCUUAAGACUUCUAAUUUUCUCCACAUAGAUAUCUGAUGUGAUUAAAUGAGAAGCCAAAGCCCAAGUGCUCACCCUAGUACCUGGCAGAGUAUGGCACAUACACAGUAGGUGGCCAUUUUGCCACCAGUAUGUGAGUGAUUCUCACAGGCUUUCCAGCCCUUUCACCAGCGCUCACACUUUGCACACAUUUUUACAAUGCUCAUAUUGGCCUAAUACAAUGUACCUUGUCACUUAUGAAUGGAAGGAACUACACAGACCUGGCAAGGAGGAUGCUUAAGGAAACAGGUAUGGAAAGACAGACCUGAAUCCCUGGUCUUAAACUGCCAAUAACAUCUGGAUCCCAUUACCUCCAUGACAAUCAAAAGGGAGUGAUCUGAUAAAUGAUUCCAAAUUUAGGUUUAUUAGGCCUGAUUCUGGUUUAAAAUAUUUUAUCUUUGUGACAGAGUUUUAUAUAGCCCAGGCUGAUUUCAAACUUGCCAUGUUUGACAUGAGUCAUGUGUGUACAUGAAUGUAGGACCUAGGACCAUCUUGAACUUGUAACCUUCAUGCCUGUACCUCCUAAAUGAUGGAUUACAUAGAUAGAUGUUCAUGAUCACCCCCAGUUUCUAUGGUGCAAAGCCUCCAGCCGAGGGCUUCAUUUAUGCUAAGACAGACAUCUACCAACUGAGCUGCAUCCCAAGGCAUAGGAAGCUAUAUUUUUUUAAGUGUGUAGAUGCUCUGUGGAAAAGUUCAUGGUCAGUACCUUUGAAAAACAUUGAAUAUUUUUCUUUCUGUCCUGGAGAAUCAGUGUCUUUAAAAACCUUGGAUUACAAACAAAACCAACCAACCAACCAACAAACCCAUGGUCCUGUGAUCAGAAUGAAAAAUUUUCGAAGUUGUUUGGGUAUUGGGACAUUUUCUUCCUCGUGUGCAGCACCCUUUCACAUCCUGUGACUCAUGACUUGCAAACAUUCUCCAGGAAAUGUUGGACCAGAAGGCCCUUCAAGGCCUUUGAAAGGUUUAUUUUUAGGUAUCACAGUUCCCCUUAUCUUUCUAAUAAUUCCUUUUCUAAAUUUUUUCCUACAUCAACAUCCUUCUCAGUCUUUGCUUUUUUUCCAUGGCCUCGGGCUUAGCUGUGUCUGGAGAGGUGAGCUGUUUUGCCCACCCUCCAGGCAGUUUGUUCAGACUGCAAAUGUGUGAAUCAGACAAAUCAGGUGUUCUGAAUCUCACUUCAUAUAAAAUAGAAUUAUAACAAUAGUCCAAUAAUUGAUGAAAUUAUUAAUUUUCCAUGAAGGAGAUGAAACUGAGGCCACAGAAUUAGCAUCAGUAGAUUUAGCUCUUGAAAAAUCUACUUGUAAUGCCUGAAGUAUGGUGGUUUGGAGUGACAAUGUGUGAUAAUUACAGUAACACUUACUUUGUUCUUAGGGGUCAGAACGUCAAGAGGGGAAGGCAAUAAAGCUAGUGUUUAAUAACUUCA